rnacentral:rRNA from 1 species
GCCUAACACAUGCAAGUCGAACGGCAGCACGAGAGAGCUUGCUCUUUUGGUGGCGAGUGGCGGACGGGUGAGUGAAUACAUCGGAAUCUACCUUGUCGUGGGGGAUAACGUAGGGAAACUUACGCUAAUACCGCAUACGACCUACGGGUGAAAGCGGAGGACCUUCGGGCUUCGCGCGACUAGAUGAGCCGAUGUCGGAUUAGCUUGUUGGCGGGGUAAAAGCCCACCAAGCGACGAUCCGUAGCUGGUCUGAGAGGAUGAUCAGCCACACUGGAACUGAGACACGGUCCAGACUCCUACGGGAGGCAGCAGUGGGGAAUAUUGGACAAUGGGCGCAAGCCUGAUCCAGCCAUACCGCGUGGCGUGAAGAAGGCCUUCGGGUUGUAAAGCCCUUUUGUUGGGGAAGAAAAGCAGCUGGCUAAUACCCGGCUGUCCUGACGGUACCCAAAGAAUAAGCACCGGCUAACUUCGUGCCAGCAGCCGCGGUAAUACGAAGGGUGCAAGCGUUACUCGGAAUUACUGGGCGUAAAGCGUGCGUAGGUGGUUUGUUAAGUCUGAUGUGAAAGCCCUGGGCUCACCUGGGAAUGCACUGGAUACUGGCAGGCUAGAGUGCGGUAGAGGAUGGCGGAUUCCCGGUGUAGCAGUGAAAUGCGUAGAGAUCGGGAGGAACAUCCGUGGCGAAGGCGCCAUCUGGA